rnacentral:hammerhead_ribozyme from 1 species
AUUCAUUUGGCGAGUCCGGAAUAGGACGAAACGCGCGUCCUGGAU